rnacentral:sRNA from 2 species
CAACGCAUGAAAGGAGGUGGUCCAGUGUCUAGAGUGAUAGUGGAGAGAGGUGUCGGGACAGUGAGGGGGGCCGUGGCCUGAGGGCAAACCCUAGGGCAAAAAACCCUGACUGGGACGGCUGGUUCCUUCGGACCCUAACCGGACCAUCUCCGUAGAUCUCGGAGGGCCAUCUCGAACAGAGAUGGCCCU